AUUGUUACCUGGCAGAGGAGAUACCGUGACCUUGAAGAUGUUUCUCCCAUGGUGAGGCAUGCCCUCUGUACUCCUUAUGUAUGCAUGUCCCCAAAUGCAGGAAAUUCAACUGAAUACUUUUUGAUUGGGGGGGGGGCUGCUUUGUGUUUCCCCCUA
rnacentral:snRNA from 1 species